rnacentral:lncRNA from 1 species
GACGGGCGGUGGUGGGCGGUGCAACCAGCGGCAUAGUCGACGGCGAGGAAGCCACCGACUGAGGGCGGCAGAUGAAAAAGGCAGGGUAGGACAAGAAGGGCUCAAGGAUGGCGGGAUGGAGAGGAAGACCACCGGGGAAGGAAGAAGAUGCGAAGCCGGGUAACGUGAUGAGUCACGUGUUUUCAGGGUCCUUGAUUGAACCGGCGAUGUUGAUCUCGGCACGUUUCAAUCUCCCUCUUUCUCAAGGUUCCCCAAUUUGUUCUUAAUCAAAUCCUAGUUGGGGACCUUGGGAGCCAUGACAACUUCAUGAUUUUGGCGCGUGUGAAGGAGCUAGAUGAUCAAGUGGUUAGCCAGCCGAGAGGAGCCGUCAGAACGCCGGGAGCCGGGGAGGAACCGUCGAGACCUCGGCGAAGCACGAGAGCCGCGCCGGGAUCUCCUAUGUAGGGAGGAGUACGUCGGGCUUCCCGGGACGGGAUCUCGCCGCUCUCGCUGCAUACGAAAUACUCCAACCACUGGUCCACCGGUCACACCUUACGUUACGCCGCCGUAAACUAGAAAUGCACAGUGCAGAGUGUCGCAUCCGUUCCUUUUCUUGUCCGUUGAACAAUUUGACUUGUGCGGCUCGUGGCACCGUCACCCCGUGUGGUUGUUCGGUGACCACAUGGGUCGUGGGAGUCCGGCCCGGUCUGUCCCGAACAAGAGGCCGCCCCACGCUCACGCCCCGGCGUGCGAGUGGGAGUGCACCGAAACUCGUGCCGCCCAGUCCAGCUGGGAACGGAUCAAAAAGGGAAACAAAACGUGCUCCCGCUAAACAAAUGUAGCCCCCCCCCCCCCCCCCCCCCUCGCGGCUCCGCCCCGGAUCGCGAUUAAAUUAAACUAGUCUAACCCCGAACCCCUUGGGCGGUCCGGGGCUGCGCGAAGCCGGUGCCGCGGCGACGUGGCCCAGGCUGGGGCGCCUCGAGUCCAGUCCCAAACGCACCACGGGCAUGCGGCCAUCGUCGCGCCACGUCCGCCGCUCACGCGGCCGCACCUGGCCCUCGCCCAACGCCCAGGUGCGCCUGCCCUCUGACGGUUGGGCCCCCGCGGCCGAAUAUAUAUGAGGCGGACCCCUCCCCGGACAGCGACGGGCCACCUAUUGGGUCAAACUGCUCGAGUUGCAGGUCGGCCGGCCCAUGCGAUGAUGCUCCGGUUGCAGGCCGACGGGUGGGCCUGGUACGGCUACGUGGCGCUUUUAAUUAUCAAAACCAGGUGCGCGCUUUUGGAAAACAAGCGCCCUUUUGAUCCACUUCGUGGCAGGCGGUUUGUCACGCGAGCCUCGCCAGGCGGCAGUCACCGGUCGCUGGGCCACGCAGUGUUCACCGGCCCGGCUGUCAUGAGACAGCAACAGCACAGGCCGCGUGGAUUGACGGCUGGACGUCUUUUGCGUGGUCCCCGCGGUUUCCAUUAUUAGUAGCGCCACGUCACAAGCGGCUGCUUUUGGGGGAUUUUUAAGUGAAUGAUGAUACUGCCUCCGUUCAAAAAAGUGUCGUUUUAGGUUUUCGUACCACAAGUUUAAUUUGAUAUGUAGAAAAUACGUGUAAUAUCUAUAUCUCUAAAUAAAUUUGUUAAAAACUAGAUUUAAAGAUCUUUCUAAUGAUAUUAAUUAUGUAUUAUAAAUAUUAAUAUUUUUACUAUAUAUUUAAUUAAAGUUAUUUUUCGGAAAACGAAAACGACACUUAUUUUGGAACGGAGGAAGUACUAGUUUCUGAUCUUGAUCUCGUGCUCGAGGCAAAUCUCUUUGGGAAUCGCCUGGGAAGGAGUAUCAGGCCUUGUUUAGUUCACCCUGAAAACCAAAAAGUUUUCAAGAUUCCCCGUCACAUCGAAUCUUGUGGCACAUGCAUGAAACAUCAAAUA